UUAUACGACCGUACCGCAAACCGACACUGGUGCGCGAGAUGAGUAUUCUAAGGCGCUUGAGAGAACUCAGGAGAAGGAACUCGGCAAAUUGACACCGUAACUUCGGAAGAAGGUGUGCCCUAUUAGUGUGUAGUGAACAACGAAGCAUGAAUGGGUUGCAAAAAAUCGGUGGCUGCGACUGUUUAUUAAAAACACAGCACUCUGCAAACACGAAAGUGGACGUAUAGGGUGUGACGCCUGCCCGGUGCUGGAAGAUUAAAUGAUGGGGUGCAAGCUCUUGAUUGAAGUCCCAGUAAACGGCGGCCGUAACAAUAACGGUCCUAAGGUAGCGAAAUUCCUUGUCGGGUAAGUUCCGACCUGCACGAAUGGCGUAACGAUGGCCACACUGUCUCCUCCUGAGACUCAGCGAAGUUGAAAUGUUUGUGAUGAUGCAAUCUCCCCGCGGAAAGACGGAAAGACCCCAUGAACCUUUACUGUAGCUUUGUAUUGGACUUUGAACAGAUCUGUGUAGGAUAGGUGGGAGGCUUUGAAGCAGGGUCGCUAGAUCUUGUGGAGCCAACGUUGAAAUACCACCCUGGUGUGUUUGAGGUUCUAACCUAGGUCCAUUAUCUGGAUCGGGGACAGUGCAUGGUAGGCAGUUUGACUGGGGCGGUCUCCUCCCAAAGCGUAACGGAGGAGUUCGAAGGUACGCUAGUUACGGUCGGACAUCGUGACGAUAGUGCAAUGGCAUAAGCGUGCUUAACUGCGAGACUGACAAGUCGAGCAGAUGCGAAAGCAGGACAUAGUGAUCCGGUGGUUCUGUAUGGAAGGGCCAUCGCUCAACGGAUAAAAGGUACUCUGGGGAUAACAGGCUGAUACCGCCCAAGAGUUCAUAUCGACGGCGGUGUUUGGCACCUCGAUGUCGGCUCAUCUCAUCCUGGGCUGUAGCCGGUCCCAAGGGUAUGGCUGUUCGCCAUUUAAAGAGGUACGUGAGCUGGGUUUAAAACGUCGUGAGACAGUUUGGUCCCUAUCUUCCGUGGGCGCUGCAGAUUUGAGGAAGCCUGCUCCUAGUACGAGAGGACCGGAGUGGACACACCUCUGGUGUAUCGGUUGUCACGCCAGUGGCAUUGCCGAGUAGCUAAGUGUGGAAGAGAUAACCGCUGAAAGCAUCUAAGCGGGAAACUCGUUUCAAGAUGAGAUCUGCCGGGGCCUUGAGCCCCCUAAAGAGUCGAUAA
rnacentral:rRNA from 1 species